ACAAUGAAGAGUUUGAUCCUGGCUCAGGAUGAACGCUAGCUACAGGCUUAACACAUGCAAGUCGAGGGG
rnacentral:rRNA from 1 species